rnacentral:lncRNA from 1 species
GCUGGAGAGGUCCAGUUGCUUGAGGAAUCUGGCAGAAGGUCGAUCGAUAGCAAAAUUCAGAAGGCGCUAUAGAAGGUUGACCAAUAGAAGAGUCUGGAAGGCAUUAUGGAAGUUCAUCCACUGGAGGAGUCUGGUUGGCACUGCUGAAGUCCGGUUGGUGCUGUUGAAGGUUCAUGGCUGGAGAGGUAUGGAAGACAUCGGAGACAGUUGGUCACUGUAGAAAUCUGGCUGCUGGAGCCCAUCCGUUGUAGAAGUUCGUCUAGAAUCCAAUUCUGUUGUAGA